rnacentral:rRNA from 1 species
AGUGAACGCUGGCGGUAGGCCUAACACAUGCAAGUCGAACGGCAGCACAGUAAGAGCUUGCUCUUACGGGUGGCGAGUGGCGGACGGGUGAGGAAUACAUCGGAAUCUACUUUUUCGUGGGGGAUAACGUAGGGGAACUUACGCUAAUACCGCAUACGACCUACGGGUGAAAGCAGGGGAUCUUCGGACCUUGCGCGAUUGAAUGAGCCGAUGUCGGAUUAGCUAGUUGGCGGGGUAAAGGCCCACCAAGGCGACGAUCCGUAGCUGGUCUGAGAGGAUGAUCAGCCACACUGGAACUGAGACACGGUCCAGACUCCUACGGGAGGCAGCAGUGGGGAAUAUUGGACAAUGGGCGCAAGCCUGAUCCAGCCAUACCGCGUGGGUGAAGAAGGCCUUCGGGUUGUAAAGCCCUUUUGUUGGGAAAGAAAAGCAGCAGGUUAAUACCCCGCUGUUCUGACGGUACCCAAGGAAUAAGCACCGGCUAACUUCGUG